CAUUUUUUUUCCUUUAGCGUACCUUCUUUUUUAUCUUACUCCACUAAUCGUCUUUUGACUUGAGAAAUUCUCCUAUUUCUUUUUUCACUCCUUCCUACAAUAGCUUCUUCCGAGUCUGUAUUCAACCUUCCUGAAAUUGUAGGGGUAACUUUUAGGAAAUUUUAAGAAUGAUUGUGGACUUUUCGGAGAGACUUCGAAGACUUGGAGUAUGUUUCAUCGGACUUUUGUAUAGCGGGUGUAUAUUUCUGUCUAGAGAUGCUCUAUGAAAAAUGGAGUUGGAUCAAUUCGCCUUUGAUUCGAAUCAAUACAACACAUAUAAGCACAUAAAAAAGUUAUAUCUCACAAGCAUAUUAUAAUAAAUGCGCAUCUUAAUUGGGGACCCUUAUGAGCCAAGGGUUGGCCUACCGAGUUUGAAGGAAGUAUAUGCCUUUUAAAACUAAUCUAUUAUCCUCGAGAUUAUUUUCAUAAAUAUCCAAAAGGACAUAAUGCCUAUAAAGUAGCAAAUGAGGGAUACAAUAGUUAAGAAAAAGGAAAAUAAAAUGUGAGAAAACAGUCCCUCGUAGGAGAUAAAAAUAUAAACAUUGAUAAAUGCCUACAAAGCAACAAAUGAGAGAUACAAUUUUUUAUGGAAAGGAAAAAUAACAUGAGGGAAAAAUAGCCCUGCGUAUGGGAUAAAACAAAAAACACUAGCAUCUAGACGAUCCUCCAUCGAUCUCUGCCUUCUUGGCUUUGUCCACCUCAUGCUACAUGUGAUAUCUAUUUGUGAUCAAGUAUCUUCCACAUAAUUGAGACUUUCAUAUCAAUUAGGAACAGAAAAAUAUCCUAUAUGUUUCUAAGGAUUUUCUUGACUUUCGACUUCAUAUAUUUUCAUCUGGAUUGAACAUUAUCUUGAAUCUUCUUAGGGGAUUGGUUGCUCCAUAUCUACACAAAAGUAAAUAAGGUAAUCCUUUCCCCUACCCCAAAUGAUAAUGGAUUUAUAUUAAUCGACAUAUAUUUCCUUCAACAUACAAACAUGAUUCAUUUGUGAUUGACUCGUGGUCAAUAGACGCAAGGUAAAUUUUCUAAUUGACCCAAUACCCCUUCAGGUAUUGGGUCAUCCUAGGCUCAUGCCUAAGAAGGGUUUUGAUUUUGUUCUAUCCUAGGUAUCUAAAGUGGGCUUCGACUAAGUUUCCAAGUGGAAAACUUGGAUUUGAAAAUAGACGCAGUCAUCGGACGCCUAACGUACCAAUUAACUGUGUUAUUUUCAAAAAUUUUAUUUGAAAUUGAUCAAUAGAUACCGCGACAAUCGCGAAAUCCCAAACAGUUUGUAUAUCAAAUGUGGGAAAAUGCCAUGAAAGCAGACAAUAGAUAUAAUCACAAGAUAAUAUCAAACCACUACAUAUUAUCAAGUAAAUUCAAAUAAAUUAGCCAAAACAAUCUAAAAUUUGGUUUGAAUCUUAAUAAAUGCUCCAGAAGAGUCGCAUUUUCUGUUUUAUCCCUUUUCGACUCGAAGGAUUGAAAAAAUAUUGGUUUUGACCUUUUAAAUUAUUUCAAAACCUUGAAAGAAAGUUUUAAAACAGCUUAAUAAAUUACAGUGUUGCCACUUGAUUUUUAAGAGAAUAUCAAGAAAAACUAAAAAUAUUUCAAAAACUUGAAAACAGAAAUAAACCUUUGAAAUAGAGAAACUAGGUAAGGAUUCAGGUAAUGCCAUGAAAAGAUUUUUAAGUCACUCAAGAGCAUCUAUUAAAAAACAGUUAAUCAAAAGAAAAUUUUGACUGAUUUGGAGCUUUGAAAACAUGGCUAAUUUGGUAAAAUCAUUCAAUUCAUUUGCAAAAAUAUGGCGUUCAUUAUAUUCGAGUGAAAAAACUAUCUAUUUGAGUUAUAUGAAAAAUCUACUUGAAAGAAAAGGUUGACUAAGUCCAGUUCUUUUAUUAACUCGAGAAAAUAAAUUAUUUUUGAACAAAAGAAAUCAAGUAAACAAGUUAUGAAAUUAUAACCAAUUAGUGAAAAAAUGCUUGAUUUUUGCAAGCAUAAUUAAUUUUUGGGUUGAAAAGAGUUCUUCUAACUUAAACAAACCAAUUUAACAUAUUAAUAAAAUAAAAUAUCAUUUUUUAUUUUCUAAGGGCUCGUUCAUCAAGAAAGCUAUUUUAGUGAUUUAAGAUAUUAAACUUUUGUGAUAAAUGACAACGAAAGUGAUCUAAGAUAUUAAACUUAUGUGAUGAAUGACAAUGAAAGGAAAAUGUAAAAUGACAAUUUGAAGGGGAAUUUAGUUUGAUUUAACCAAAUUUAAGAGAUCAUUACAACAAAUAUUCAAAUAAGAAUUUACAAAUAAACUAAAGGAGAAAAGUUUAAGUAUUGGGUCCUUGUUUGGCCUAAUUCAAAUUUGGCCAGCUUUUGGGCCAAUUUUCAGCCCCUUUUCAGCUGUAUAUCAUCUUCUCUCUUUCGAAUUUUUGUAUGUAUACAUACUGGGUAUAAGCUUGCAGCUUCGUAUACCAAUGACCUUCUUUCAUUUUUUGCGCCUUUCAACUCGUAUAUCAGCUUCCAACAUUCAAAUGUGGUGUAUAUUUAUUGUAUAUCUUUAUAUAUAACCUUGAUCUUCAUGAUUUAAGUUUGUUUUUGGACUUGGAAGGGAGCUUGGACUCGAUGAGAGGAUGGACCUCAUUGGCCCAUAGGAGGAAUGCAACGGUAAAGAGUCCAUUUUAGACUCAAACAAAUUCAUAUGCAAAGAGAAAAAUAAAGAAAUUAAUACUCGUUCAAAAGUAUCAAGUGAUAGACCAAAUAAAACAUUAUGAAUCAAAUUUACAUAAUAAGAAUCAGUAAGUCACAUGAAGUCAUACUCGAGCUACGUCAAAGUUUGAACACCCACACCCACAUUUUUUAUUUUCUUAUUUUUUUUUUCAAAUCAAACAUAUUCAAUAACAUGAAAAAACACUCAGAUGCAAGACAAGGUGUAAAAGGAGAACCAAGAUAAAUCAAGAAACCCAAUUGCUUGAGAAAAAUAUCGAUCAUUAAUCAAAGUUAAAAUUUUUAAGGUUAACUAUUAAUUUCAUUGGACAUUAUGCAUUAAAGGAACUUGAAUUUAAUUUCUCUAAGCAAAUAACAAAGACACACCAACAAUAGCAAUUAAUAGUAGGCAAAGAGGAGUAUAAGAUUGAUUUUUUAAGAGAAAGUGAUUGGAGGCAGUUUUUAAAGUCUCGAUAAAACGGAACAAAAGGGAAAAAAUUUAAGACACAGACAAGUAUCAAACACUUAUGUUCAUCCUACCCUCCUCUUUUACAAGUUUAAACGAGCCGUAAAUCAAAAUAUGUCUUAGAAGGAUCUCGACAUUGUUUGUACAUAAUAUUGACAUCCUCCCUAUUCUUUUUAACAUUGUAUGUCAAAGUAAACUUUAAGAGUAGUCUCAUUUGCAACAUUAUAAGCUACGAUAAUAAAUCUAAAAUCCCAAUUAAGUAAUGUCAAGCUAAAAUAAUGAAGGAAUAUUUUCUCUCACUAGGAAUAUAUUUAUUCAAAAAUUACUUGAAGUUUUAGUAAUAGUACAAAUAAAUAUUUUCUCUAACUAAAAAUUAUACUAAAUACUAAGUAAUAUACAAUUUAGUAAAGUCUAUAAUUUCUAUAAUGUGUCGACGUUUACCAUGUCAAACUAUAUUGAGUUUUGACUAUCGUUACUGAAAUAUUUUGAAAUUAUAUUUAAAAAGUAUUUAAAUAUGUAAUUUAAAUUUAUUUAAACAUAAUAACUAAUAGAAAAGAAAUAUAAGUAAUGAUUCUCAAGUUAUCAAAUCGACGUAAUAUUAAGGGCGUAAGACUAUAACAUUAAUAUGUAACUCUCUUGCGUUGUUGUUAACUAGAUCGACAUUUACGAACUAUAUGAAUUCUAUGAAAUUUAUAAUGUGUUGAUGUCUAUUAUGUCUAAAGUAUUUUAAAUUGUGACUAGUAAAUAUUCUCAAGUUAUAUAGAAAAUUAUCUAAGAAUAUAGUAUAAAUUUAUUUCUACACAAUAAUUAAUAAAAUUGCUUAAUUAGAGGUCAUAUCAAUAACAAAUAUAAGUAGUAAUUCGCAAGUUAUUACAUCAGCGUAACAUAGGGGCAUUAAACUACAACAUUAAUGUGUGACUCUCUUAGAUGGGUGUUAACUAUGGCCGAUGCUUAUGAAUUAUAUGAUUUUAAUUAUUUUUUAACGUAUAGAUGUUUAUCAUAUCUAGUGUUUUGAAUUUUGACUGUCGUUACUUAAAUAUUUUAUAUUUAAAAAAUUAUCUAAAUAUAAUAAUUAAUUAAAAAAACUCAAUUAAAGGUCAUAUAAAUAACAAAUACUAUAAGUAAUGAUUCACAAGUCAUCAUAUUGAAGUAGACCACAAGUUACAACAUUAUAUGACUCUCUUUGAUUGUUGUUAACUAAGGUUGACACUUACCAAUUAUAUGAUUUUUAUAAUGUGAUUACUCUAUCAUGUCUAAAGUAUUUCAAGUUUUGAAUAUUGUUAUUGAAAUAUUUUAAAUUAUAUUUAAAAAUUUUAUUUAAAUACAUAAGAUUUACUUAAACAUAAUAAUUAAUGAAAAUGCAUAAUUAAAAGUCAUAUCAAUUGUAGGGGGUGCAGAUAACUUGGGUAACUUGAAUAGAUCUAUUAUAACUUUAAUGGAUCUAUUUUUAUUUGUGCGUGGAUAUUUCUUAACUUCUCUAAACAUUUUAAUUUUAUUAAUGUCCAUAUCUUGGGGGGUGAUUAGAUGGUAUUUGAUUAAAUGCUUUACUAUAAUAUUCUUUAGUUUUUUUCUAUUAGUCUUUAUAAUUCUUGUAUAUUAUUUUAAAGGUAUUCUAAAUAUUCUAUAUCUUUUGUUCUAAAAUAUUCAAUUAAAUUCUCUUUCAUAAGUAUUUUUUUUGCUCUUAUUUCUUCCAUAUCUUGUCUCCAAUAUUUUAAAUACUCAUAGUAUCCUAAAGUAGUUGUAAUACUGCAAAUUUUUUUAUAAUAAUUUAUUCUAAUUGUACUAUAUCUGAUAUUAAAUUCUAGGUUAUCUAUUUCGGUAAUUAUCCUCUCUUUUUCGUCUAUGAAUAAUUCUAUGUCUAAAUCAUAUUCUAAACUGUCUUUUAAUUCUAGUUGUUUUAUGGUUUUAUUUAUCCAAAUUAAUCUUUCUUUCAAUUGUUCUCUUCUUUUUCAAAGUUCGUUUCUAUAAUUAAUAUCUUCGUAUAGCGAACUUUAUUUUUCUCUAACUCUUUGAAUGUAUUCUAGCAUUCUUAAUUUAUAUAAUAUCCAUCUGAAUAAUAACUAUCUGAAUUAUUUCUACCAUAGAAAUCUAUAUUUUCUAAUUCAUCUUCUAUCCAAUUAGUACUUAGUAACUCAUCUUCAAAAUUAAAAAAAAAAAAUUUCAUAUUAUUUUCUUUAUGUCUUCUAAUUCUAAGUCUUCUAUGAUAUAUAAAACAAGUAUCUUAGUGUCAUCAGAUAUAUAAUUUGUAAUAUUAUUCAUAUUAUUCUUAGGUUUCUACGAAUAACUUGGAUAACUUGAAAUUGAAUUCUAGUAAUUAAAUGCUUUAUCAUAGUAUUUAUUAGUCAUUUGUUUUAAUCUUAAUAAUUCUUGUAUAUUUUCAUAAAGGAAUUCUAUAUAUUUUAUAUCCUUAGUUCUCAUAUAUUUUUGUAGAUUAGUUUCCAUUAGUUUUUCUACUAAUUGUAUAUUUUUCAUAUCCAUUUUCCAAUAUUCUAAAUAUACAUAAUUUAUCAUGGUUGAUGUGUAGGUUUGGUAUNNNNNNNNNNNNNNNNNNNNNNNNNNNNNNNNNNNNNNNNNNNNNNNNUCAGAUAAAUAAGUAUUCAUUUUUCAUAUGAUGUUUUUUUCAAAAUAUUCCCUUCAAUCAUACACAUAACAAAAUAUGAUCAUUUUAGAUUACUAUAUACUAGAUUAUUCUUAAAUAACAUGUUCUUCGAUUAGUAUUAGCAUGGUAAUCUGAAUACUUUUCCCUUAAACAACGCCUCUACUCUGGCUACUCCCCUAUCACGUCUUUCUUGCCUCACCGGUUUCACCUUUAGGAUGACAUAGUUCUUUGAGAUUUUUCUUCUUUUCACUUUGCUAAUAAACUUCUUAACAUGUUAUUCUUCGAAUAAUUCUACUAUAAAGUAACUAACAUGAACUUAUUUUAUCAUAUCAUGAUUGUCAGAAAUUUAUGAAUUUAGCUAUUCAUAAUCACAAAUAUAAAUACAUGUUCUGGUAAAUCUGAUAAUUCUAGAUUUUCCAUAGCUGUUUGAUGAUUCAUAGCUUUUCCUUGGAAAUAUACCUAUUUUUAUUAAAUAAUUCAAAAGUUUUGUGUACAAGAGAGGGUUUUGCUUCAACUCAUGAAGACUUGCCCUUUAUCUGAGCGAAUUCUCGUCUAUUUAUAUCCUCUAAAAUGAAAGACGUAAACUCUAUAUUCUCCCAAAUUUUUUACACGUAUCUUUCGUAAUAAUUCAUAUCUUACAAAAAAGUCAAAAAGGCUAGGCUAUAAAGUUAGAUACCCUAAAAAGAAAACAAGACUUAUCUAUACAAAAGUCUUACAAAACUAAAAAUUUACGAAUAAGAGUUAAAGGCUAUACAAUAUGUCACUUUCUAGUCAUUUAUUAACUUGUCUUCUUCUAUUAUUGCUCUGUUAUUAUCUUCUUUUUAUCUUCUUCUUGUCGUAUGUGCUGUUUUUUUAUCUUCCUGCUAUUGUAGCAUCAUAUAUGGAAUAAAGUUGUCUGCCACUACAUUUGUUGCAUAUGUGGUCAUCGUAUUUUUGGCCAACUUGUUUACAGAAUUGAUCCAUAGCUUCUUUUGAAAUAACUCUUUUCGUAAUAGAUCUUGUGACUGCUAACUCUUGUGGUUUUAGGAUCGUCAUGACCCAUUUUUUUUUAUCUCUUCUCUGUCAUUUUCUCUAAUAUUUUUACAAGUAGAGUAAGCCAAAAAUUGAUUUCUGUUAUAGUAAAUCCAAACUGAGUUUUGAUUUAUAUAAUUAUUUGCUAACUCAGUCAAUAUACUUCUAAGUCCAAUAACUCUCUUGUUUCGGUAGAAGUUCGGUAGCUGAUUUUUGGUUAUCUCUUCUUGUUUGCAUAUUUCUUCAGGGAUUAUAUAAUCUCGUGUCAUUCAUAUCUUGACAAUAGUAAUUGUCUAUUUUAUUUCAUUAAACAAUAUUUUUGCUGGUGCUGAGUAGAAAUGGACAUAGAAUAACUGUCCCUUCGUAAUCCUCUUAUAAUCCAUAAAUUCUUUGUAAAUAUAUGGAAUUCCUGUUAACUCUUCUCCAGUAGUUGCGUAGACUGUAGAUAAUAGUCCAUAACAGUAACAUAAAGUAAUUAAGUUUGCACUGGUACUAGGCAAAACAAUAAGUUUGUUAUAGUUCUGAUAUUUUUGUGUAAUCUAUCCUUGGUGUUGUUUUGCUAAAUAUUUACUCUGGAUAGGUUUUGUAUUUAAUAACUUUUGUAAAGUAAAAUACUAUCAAUAUAUGUACGAGUGAUAUGGUUAUAAGUCUUCUUUUGUUGAUUGAGUGACUCGGAAUAUGUGUGUAUCUGGGGAGGUAUAGAUGACUAUGAUUUUUGUAUAUUUGGUGUAUAUGGUUUGAGAAUAUCUGGUUGAGGUUAUAAUUCCUUUUUUUGGUUGUUCAGGUUUAUUUUGAGUGACUAUAUUCUAUCCCUUGGAUACAUCACUUGCACCUGUAGCUGUAACUGUAAUUUCUUUAGUAAUUUGAGUUUUUAGGUGUUUCUCAUCAUCACCUUCUAGGUCUAGUUUUUUAAUGUGCUCUUUCUGCACAGUAUCUUUGCUAAUAGCUUAUUGUUUUUUUAUAGUGCUCAACCUGCACUUUUACAUUUGUAACUUCAGUAGUUAAUGUGAUAACUCAUUCUUGUAAUAACUUUAUUUGUUCAAACACUUGUAAUAUUAAGUCUGUUUAACUAUCUUUGACAUCAGCUUCUUCCAUUGGUAAAUCAGUUUGAGUAAUUUGAGUUUUUAGGGUAUCUUUGACAUCAGCUUCUUCCAUUGGUAAAUCAGUUUGAGUAAUUUGAGUUUUUAGGUGUUUCUCAUCGUCACUUUCUAGGUCUAGUUUUUUAAUGUGCUCUUCCUGCACAGUAUCUUUUCUAAUAGCUUUUUCUUAUUUUUUAUAGUGGUCAACCACCACUUUACAUUUGUAACUUCUGUAGUUAGUGUGAUAACUCUUUCUUGUAAUAACUUCAUUUGUUCAAACACUUGUAAUAUUAAGUCUGUUUGGGUAUCUUUGACAUCAGCUUCUUCCAUUGGUAAAUCAGUUUGAGUAGAUUUGUCUUGAUAUGUAAUCUGCAAUAAAAUUCUUGUCAGUCAUGAUUACUUCAAUCGUAAAUGUAAAAUUUAAUAUAUUCAAUACUAAUCUCCGAAUUUCCUUCAUCGUAACUGAGUUUUGUAUUUUUCUUGUUAACCACCAUCGAACCUGGGUAUUAUCUGUCCUCACAAUAAAUUUGUUAUAUACAAUGUAUGGUUCAAAUGCUAAUAAACAUUUAUAUAAUGAACAUAAUUCUUUUCUAUUUAUUUUCUAUUUUAUUUCUGUUCCAUUAAACGUACCUGAGUAGUAUCUACAAUGAUAUUCUAAUUUUUCUUCUUCAUAUCUAUAUUUAAGUACUCCUCCAUAACUAUAUUCACUAGCAUCUGCUUCUACUAUAUAUAUAAAAUUUUUAUUUUCAUUUGGAAAUUGUAAUUUUGGUAACUCUUUACAAAGUAUUUUUAUUUUUUGAACUUAUUUUUUGUCUUCUUCGUUGUAAUUAUAUUCUACGUCCUUUCUUAAUUUUUUCUGUAAUGGUUUUAGGUUUUCUGCUAAUUUUUGUAUAUGUUCUCUUACCUGAUUCACUAAUCCUAAGAGCUAUUGUAAUUUCUUUUUUGUAUCUAAUUCUUCUUUUGAAUUUAUUAUUUUUUGUACUAUAUGUUGUUGCAUUUUUACUCCACUUUUAUAUAUUUGUAUUCCUAAAAACUCUAUUUGGUUUUUCAUUAUUUCGGCUUUCUUUUCACUUAAACUUAUUCCCGAUUUUUCUAUUANNNNNNNNNNNNNNNNNNNNNNNNNNNNNNNNNNNNNNNNNNNNNNNNNNNNNNNNNNNNNNNNNNNNNNNNNNNNNNNNNNNNNNNNNNNNNNNNNNNNNNNNNNNNNNNNNNNNNNNNNNNNNUUUAGUUUUUGUAUAUAAUAGUAUAUCAUCUAUGUAUACUAUACAAUUAGGUAAUUGUUUAAAAUAACUAUCUAUAAAGUGUUGAUAUCUACUUGGUGCAUUUUUAUAUCCAAAUGGUAAUACGUUUCAUUCAUAAAAUUCUUGUGGUACUGUAAAUGCGAUUAAUUUCUUAGAUUCUUCUUCUAACUUUAAGUGGUAAAAUCAUGAUUUACAGUCAAAUUUACUAAAAUAGUUAUAUCCUGUAUUUGUCUUAUUUUUAAUAUCUUAUUUGGUAUUGGGUAAUUAAAUGUCAUAGUUUUUGCAUUUAAAUUUCUAUAAUCAAUAACAAUUCUACUUUUACCUUUUGUUUGUUCACUAUAUUUAUUUACUAUAAAUGCUAGACUAUUGUGUUUACUAUUACUUUUAUGUAUAUAUUUUUUCUAGUAAUUCAUCUAUAUGCAUUUUAAAUUCUUUUAAAUCGUCAAAAUUAUAUGUUAAUGGUUUUUGAGUUAUUAUGCUAUUUUUAUCUAUUAAUUCAAUUUUUAUAGUAGUUUUAUGUUUUUUCCAUCCUUUUAAUGGAUAUUCACUGUAUAGUUGUCUUAAUUUUUUCUUUAUUAUUCCUACCUUAUCUAUUGAAAAUAUGGUUAUUUCUUUUUUAUUUAUUGAAAAUACAACUAGUUUUACUGUGUCUUCUGUAUUUUUUAUAUUUUCUAACUUUUGUGUAAUUUUUUCGCUUCCUUUUAUCCAAUCAGUUUUCUUUCUUAUUUUAUUAAUAACCCUUUUUGCUCUUACUUUUUGUUUGUAUGGUGUUGUAAACCACCAAUCUAUUUUAGUUAUUAUAUGUGGGUAUAAUUUAUCUAAAAAUGACAUCCCUAAAAGCAUAUCUUUUGAUGUUAGUUCAUAAUUAUAGAUUUCUUCUAUUGUUAUUAUUUUAUCCCAUAUCUGUAUUUUUACACUUUUAGCUAUAUAUGUAAUUAAACUUCCUUCAUUAUUAAAUCUUUUGACUACUAUUGGUGUUUUUAAUUUAUCAAUUUACUUUCUGGUAAAUAGUUGUAUCUAUAUAAGUUUGUUUCUGCUCCUGUAUCUAUUAUAGGUGUAUAAUACCUGUUAUAAUAUCCUUCUACUAUUAUUUUUACAAGUAUAUAAAUUUUCAUGUCAUGUCAAAGUUCUUUUUAUGAAUAAUUUCUCUUUAUUAUAUGUUAUAGAUAAUUGUGUAUGUUCUAUAUUGUAUGAUUUUACUUGUUCUAACCAUUUUAUUCCUGAUAUUAUAUCUUCUUUUUGCAUUUCUUCUUUUAUUUCAAAUUCUAUUUUUAAUAGGGGCGAGGUGGUUUUUUGGGAUAGGAAUGGGUUCCAGCUACGACAGUCGCCACAUCCUCUUUCUUCUUUCUACCUCCAAAUGCGCCAGAUCUACCUUGAAUCGCUUGUGUGGUGGCUUUUAAUGCAGCAAAACUCACUAUUCGGCCGGUCUUAAUUCCGUCCUCUAUCAUCUCUCCCAUUUUGAGGACUUCCAUAAAAGAUUUUCCCAUUGCCGGAAGUAAAUGCUGAAAAUAGGUCUCAUCCUGCACCUGAAUGAAAACUUCUACCAACUUAGUUUCUUUCAUUAGAGGCUUUACCCUGGCGGCCUGUUCACGCCACCUUAUCGUGUAUUCUCUAAAACCUUCAGUGCUCUUUUUCUUCAUGUUGACUGAGGAUUUUUUAUCCAGAAUCAGGUCGAUGUUGUACUGAAAAUGUUGAACAAAUUCAGAAGCCAAAUCAUCCUAGCUGUUCCAUUUAUCGAUAUCUCGAUCGAUAAACCAUUCUGAGGCCAGAUCUGAAAGACUUUCGCCAAAGAAGGCCAUGAGCAGUUCCUCGUUUCCUUCUACAGCCCUCAACAGGUUGCAAUAACGUCUUAAGUGUGCCACGAGAUCACCGUGUCCUGCUUACUUCUCGAACUUAGGCAUCUUAAAAUCGGGGGGGAGGUUGAUGUCUGGGACCAUGCAAAGAUCUUUAUAGGAAGCACUCCUAUAAUCUCUGAUUCCUUGCAAAUUCCUCAUAGCUUGUUCUAAACUUUUCAAUUUCCGGGCUAUGAUGUCAUGUUCCUCUACUGCGACAGGUUUCUCCGUAUCAAAUGGAAAUGCAGGCGGCUGAGUGUACCCAUACGGUUCAUUCAUUUGCAAAGUAGGCUCAGGGGCAUAAUACUGACUAUCUGGAACCUUCAGCACGGGCUCACUGGCAGACCUAGGAAGCCUCAUUGUGGGACGCACAACAUAUACGGGAGUUUCAUGUGGUGGCGGAGCCAUGAAUACCGGUGUGAUCGGUGGCGCUGGCUGAGCAGCUAGUCUUAAUUGGGGAGCUGCCAAGGGCACACCAGAACUACCAGGAUAAUAAUGUCGUAGAGUAAAUCUUGGCGCGUGCUCAGGUGACUCAGCAGGAGCAGAGAAUUGUGCCUGAGAGAGCGGUGGGCAGUUAGAGAUAUUCCCAAGACCUUCAGGGAGUGGAGGAGGAGGCAUUCCGCUGGCACAUGCCCGGUGUAAAUCUAUCAAUUGUUGCCUAAGCCUUACUACCUCAUCAUUGUAUUUAGAACUUUCUUCCCUGUGAUCCUGAUCCGGGUCAAUGAGCGAAUUUUCAAUCUCCCUGCUAGCCAUGGCGAGCUUUGCUUUGGAUCUAGUGAAGUAUGGGUGACUAGCUAGAGUGCUGCAAACCUACCACUGUUAUCUGAAAGAACAUGCUCAUCAAAGAUGACAUCCGUUACGAUUAGGGCACACAACAAGCAUGGGAAUCACAUUGGUAAAAUUGUCCUAAAUUCAUGUUCAUUUCUACCAGCUUUUGAGGGUAGCGAGGUCAUUUUAACAUCAUCCUGAUUUUUGUCUACACUUUUUUUUUAUCUACACUUAUUAUUAUUAUUAUUAUAUUUCGUAUCCAUCUCUGUUCUAUUCCAUUCUCUCAUUAUCUACCUUUAUUUUAUCAUUCUUUAUGGCUUUUGUUUUUCUUUAAAAGAGGAAAAAUAAUGAAAAACAACGAAACAAAAUGAUUAGAUCGAACCCAAAAGUAGGUUACCUACGUAUCAUGUUGUACAUGAAUCAGAUCUUGCGUAGUUCGGGCCAAUCAUUUUGUUUUUGUGAAAACGAAAAUAAAUAAACAAGGAAAGACGUAACAUCAUAACAUUUUGAAGAAACAAAACAACAAAAACGUACAAAAGUUCGGGACCACUUUAAAACUAAACAACAAAUACGAAACAACAUUUUAGACCCCUAAGACGACAUAGGUGAAAUUACUAAAAAAGACUCUAAUACCAAAAACAACUUGACUUUGACUUAAAACAGACUCCACCCUAUAAUGACAGACACAUAAAAGACUCAAACUGAAUAAAGAUAAGAAGUGCUCUUUCAGACUGGUGCUCUGCGUGAUGAUCGACCUGUCUAUGAAGUUCUCUUUCUCCCAUUUAAACUUUGUAUCAUAUCCUGUAAAGACACCCUGAUACCGGGGAGGAAGCUUCGGGCCCGUAUUCCUGCUUCAUGAGGAGUGCACUUGGAAAGAUUAUUCUGACACCUUUCUACCGUCUUGAACAAAUCUGCUAACUGAACUCUCAGUGUUUCCACUUUGGACCCUACACUUUCAUCCUGAUGGUCGUCAACUAUGCAGUCUUCCUGUAUUCUCCCUCUAAGCUGCGCUGGUAAGGGUUGACUGAUACCCCGAGGAAUAGAUUGAAGUCAUAACCCAUAUCCUUGAGUGCAGCCCGAAUUAUCCAAACUUUUUUUGAGUGUGUCCACACCCAACUUUGUUGCAUGCUUCCAAAACUGCUCAUACUUGCUUUCACCUAAGGCUUGGUCGUUGAAGUACUCAACAUCCUUCAGAAGAUCCACUGCUGGCGGCACGUCCUGCAGCCUACCCAACUGGCGCAUUACUCUAGAAGGACUGUAUGGUCUAGCGCAAUUGAGCCCUAACAUAACUAAAGGGAGCUGCGUCUGACAACCCAGCAAGAUUAUCUUCGGUCGAAGCCACAGAUAAGUCCACAAAAUGUUAUCCCCAGUUCUUGAUUCAAGAAAUUCAAUCCAAGCCUCAACUCCCACGGGUAAGGAGAAUUUAUCCAAACGCAACCUGGAGUCCAUCGCUUUCACUCGAUUGGGAAUACAACGAUCUAACACGUAUGAUCUAACUAAAGAAGGCGCAUGCAAAUGCUCCAUGGCCCAUAUCAGCAAUAUCAGGUUACUGCCCUAAAAAAAUCUCCUUCCCCUCUUCACUUCGGUUAAAGCCUUAUAUAUUUCUGUUAAAAUCAUGGGUAUGAGAGUGAACCUGCCCUUUUGAUUAAUGCCCUUGUCGUUUCUAUCCUUAUAAAAUAGGGCCAUCACCACAAAUUGCAAACGGGUAUUAAUAUGUCUUUCUUCUAGUGGAAAUACUAAAGUACCUAACAAAGCGAGGGUGAAGACUUCAAGACGCUUUCUCUCCCACUUCUCCUUAGUCACAUGAAAUUCAUCCCAAAAGCAAUCAAAACCUUCUGAGAGCCCGAAUCUAGCGAACAAAAAAUCUAGGGAAACCCACGAAUCACUUAAACAACCCAAACGGAUACCCUUACUUUUUAAACCACAAGACUACAAAAAUCUCACGCCAGUAUGAUUUCAUACUCGGAUCAUAUCCUUCUCGAUAUAGGGCAAAUGCAACUAACCGGAUAUUUCUGCCAAAGUAGGAGUCAUUUCACAUUCCCCAAACCUGAACACCAAACUACUUGGAUUCAAAAAGGUCAACAAAGCCUCUAUUAAAUCUGGACGAGGGGUAACAUGCAGAAGUUCCGUAAGAUCACCUAAUAUUUUAAUCAGUUUCUACUGAUCAACAUUGUUAAACAUUUCCCACCAUUUGAUUAACUUUUUGGGGACCUUGACAACCAUUAGAACUCUAGACUUGGUGGACAAAUCCAUCCUAUAAUAACACACAAGACGUUAUCUCAAAAAUUCGACAAGAGUAGAAGAUUCCAAACCCUUGGAAUUUUUGACGCAAAUAUAUGUCGAUGGGACAGACCAUAUUCAUGACUCCCAUUUGCCGAACAGAAGUACUGAGCGAAAUCAGUCUACUUGGCAAACAACUCUAGAUUACGGGGCGAGAGACCUAGGCUAAUAAUAAGACAAAGGCCAACACAAAAAAUUACCAGACCCACCGAGGGUUGCCUACGUAUCCCAACCUAAGGGAAGGGAAUCAGGUAUGCGUAGUUCAUCCAGAUUGGACAAUUAACGAUUAACUUCUAAAUUGACCCUAACUUAGGAGACACUACCAAAAACAAACGAAAAAAAAAAAACUUUUGGAUUUUCAGCUAAGACUGACACUACCAAUUAUGAAGGAAAAAGUCUUUUUGGUAUUUUUUUUUUUGUUUUUUUUGACAAAUAAGUAGAAAAGGCAAAUAAAACGUUUUUUUCGCUUUUAUGGUAUUUUGAGAAGACAAAUGCAAAACGUAAAAAAAAUCUUUUUGAGUUUUUGAAUUGUGAAGAACAAAAGCCAUAAAGAAUUCUAAAAUAAACUACGAAAUUCCUCUUUUUUUUUUUCAUUCUUUUCAACUCACUUUUUCUAUUUUUUUUCUUUUUCGUUUUUGCCUACGCACCUUAAUCCUAACAAUUUUUUUUUUAAUAUAUANNNNNNNNNNNNNNNNNNNNNNNNNNNNNNNNNNNNNNNNNNNNNNNNNNNNNNNNNNNNNNNNNNNNNNNNNNNNNNNNNNNNNNNNNNNNNNNNNNNNNNNNNNNNNNNNNNNNNNNNNNNNNNNNNNNNNNNNNNNNNNNNNNNNNNNNNNNNNNNNNNNNNNNNNNNNNNNNNNNNNNNNNNNNNNNNNNNNNNNNNNNNNNNNNNNNNNNNNNNNNNNNNNNNNNNNNNNNNNNNNNNNNNNNNNNNNNNNNNNNNNNNNNNNNNNNNNNNNNNNNNNNNNNNNNNNNNNNNNNNNNNNNNNNNNNNNNNNNNNNNNNNNNNNNNNNNNNNNNNNNNNNNNNNNNNNNNNNNNNNNNNNNNNNNNNNNNNNNNNNNNNNNNNNNNNNNNNNNNNNNNNNNNNNNNNNNNNNNNNNNNNNNNNNNNNNNNNNNNNNNNNNNNNNNNNNNNNNNNNNNNNNNNNNNNNNNNNAUUUUUUAUUCAGAGUCGCCACUUGGCAUAAUCUGGUGUACCGAGUCACCGUUACAUAAUCCUUUCCAAAACCAUUUGACUCUUUAAAUUGGUGUGUGAACAGAGAUUCCGGCUAAGGAAUUCUGUUGACUGAGGGGAAGGUGUUAGGCACCUCUCAAUCCCGUGGUUCAACCACAGUCGCUUGGUAGAGUGUAUCAACUAUUUUUGGCAUUAUGAAAUGUACAAACCAUUAAAAAGCACGCUAAAUAAUCAAGCAACAAACAAACAAUCCAGAAAUGUAAAGUCUAGUCCAAUUAUACAGUCCAAAAAUAAAUAACGCGGAAAUAUAAAUCUAUUCUACCCUAGACUAAUCUCCAAUGCCUUACCCGAUUUCGCGAGCCUUCAUCAUGAUCAUUUUCCACCAACAUGAUACGUCGGGGCAUUCUCCGGUGAAUAAGUACAGAAGACCUCGGGGCAUUCCCCGGCUAAAUGAAUACAUUUGAAUCGCAUGCGAUAAAGUAGAAAACAUUCAACACAUACUCCACAUUCAAACAAAACAUCAAUCUUAAAUUCUUGCCUACCCAAACCUAUAUUGCCUAUCCAUUUCAAUAUGGCGUAAGUAUAUCACAUUCACUUGUACCGAACGGAAUAAAAGACAACAAACCAACAUUAAUCUACGUUCAAUUUUUUUAUCAAUUUCUCCAUUCCUUCCCUAAAUCCCCUUAUCAAUCCAUUAGAGCAUGAUCAAAUUCAUUCUUCAAACCACCAAAAAUCGACCCACCAAACAUCAUGAUCAUAACAAUCGACAUCAACAAAGUCCAACAAAAAUGUAAUCACAACACACAUAUUCACAAUCCAUUCAACACACUAGGAUAGAUAAAAAGAGA
rnacentral:lncRNA from 1 species